AUCGUAUAUAACUAUAUAUGUAUUUGUUCCAGAUCCUGCACCUUCACCACAUUUGGAAAGACACGGAGAACUUCCAAAAGCCUGGAACAAAUACUGAAAAGUAUUGAAGAAUUGGCACAACCUGGGACCAAUAUAAAGGGUUGCAGUUAUUACAAUGCUGAUGGCCUUUGGGGAGAUGUCUGCAAAAGCCUGGAAGUGCCCAAUACAUCAGUGAAUCGGCAAAAACUUUAUAAGAUCGCUGCUCAUCUUUGGAAGGACAUCUCAGGGAUAAAGAGCAACUUAAAAGUGACAGAUGCUGAUGCUGAGGAGAGGGAACACAUCGCCUCUUCGGAUGACAAUGAUGUUGGAGACACUCAUCUGUCUCCACCUUUGGAAAAAGAGGAUGAAUGUUCAUCUUCAUUUGAAAAGGAUAAUGAAAAGGAAUCCAACCUGGCUGAAUCUGCUUACAUGUCAACAGAGAGCAGUGAGGCAGAGGAGACAAUUUUCUCAUGCUGUGUGCCACAGCAGCCAUGUUUCUUUUUUCUUGACAAAAAGGAAUGGCAAGACCUGAGGAAAUCUCAGAGAGGAAAUUGUUUUCAAGGGUUACAGUGGACAAAUGUGAUAGCAAGUGGAAUAAGGUCACUUCACCUGCAGCUUUGGUUUUAGACGUCACGCAUUAAAAACCCUGCGGUCACAAAGAAGCGCACCCAUCUUCAAAUGUAAUGGAUACUGUCGGUUUGAAGAUUGCCCCAUUGCUGUUACUGUCGAAGUCAGAGAUGAGGUCACCCUGAAGGCAGAUGUGGUAUUCACAGGAGGAGAUAAGGUGUGCCACAGUACCACUGAACUCAAAAGAAGGCCAGUCCGUGCAGAUGCACGUUCAUCACUUGCAGAAACCCUUGAAACGAAGUUACCAA
rnacentral:lncRNA from 1 species